GAAAUGCGAUAAGUAGUGUGAAUUGCAGAAUUCAGUGAAUCAUCGAAUCUUUGAACGCACAUUGCGCCCCUUGGUAUUCCAUGGGGCAUGCCUGUUCGAGCGUCAUUUGUACCCUCAAGCUCUGCUUGGUGUUGGGUGUUUGUCCCGUCUCCGCGCGUGGACUCGCCCAAAAGUGAUUGGCAGCCGGCGUACUGGUCCCGGAGCGCAGCACAUGUCGCGCAAACGAGUGCCUUGGUACGGCGGCGUCCAUAAGCCCCUCUCUCACGCUCUUGACCUCGGAUCAGGUAGGGAUACCCGCUGAACUUAAGC
rnacentral:misc_RNA from 1 species